rnacentral:rRNA from 1 species
UCGAGCGGCAGCGCGGGGGCAACCCUGGCGGCGAGCGGCGAACGGGUGAGUAAUACAUCGGAACGUGUCCAGUAGCGGGGGAUAACCUGUCGAAAGAUAGGCUAAUACCGCAUACGAUCUACGGAUGAAAGCGGGGGACCGCAAGGCCUCGCACUAUUGGAGCGGCCGAUGUCGGAUUAGCUAGUUGGCGGGGUAAAAGCCCACCAAGGCGACGAUCCGUAGCUGGUCUGAGAGGACGACCAGCCACACUGGAACUGAGACACGGUCCAGACUCCUACGGGAGGCAGCAGUGGGGAAUUUUGGACAAUGGGGGCAACCCUGAUCCAGCCAUGCCGCGUGAGUGAAGAAGGCCUUCGGGUUGUAAAGCUCUUUCGGCGGGGACGAAACGGUCCGUGACAACACCACGGACUAACGACGGUACUCGCAGAAGAAGCACCGGCUAACUACGUGCCAGCAGCCGCGGUAAUACGUAGGGUGCAGGCGUUAAUCGGAAUUACUGGGCGUAAAGCGUGCGCAGGCGGCUCCUUAAGUCAGAUGUGAAAUCCCCGGGCUUAACCUGGGAACUGCGUUUGAAACUGGGGAGCUAGAGUGUGGAAGAGGGGGGUGGAAUUCCAGGUGUAGCAGUGAAAUGCGUAGAGAUCUGGAGGAACACCGAUGGCGAAGGCAGCCCCCUGGGCUAACACUGACGCUCAUGCACGAAAGCGUGGGGAGC